rnacentral:rRNA from 1 species
CCUACGGGAGGCAGCAGUAGGGAAUCUUCCACAAUGGGCGAAAGCCUGAUGGAGCAACGCCGCGUGGGUGAAGAAGGUCUUCGGAUCGUAAAACCCUGUUGUUAGAGAAGAAAGUGCGUGAGAGUAACUGUUCACGUUUCGACGGUAUCUAACCAGAAAGCCACGGCUAACUACGUGCCAGCAGCCGCGGUAAUACGUAGGUGGCAAGCGUUAUCCGGAUUUAUUGGGCGUAAAGGGAACGCAGGCGGUCUUUUAAGUCUGAUGUGAAAGCCUUCGGCUUAACCGGGGUAGUGCAUUGGAAACUGGGAGACGUGAGUGCAGAAGAGGAGAGUGGAACUCCAUGUGUAGCGGUGAAAUGCGUAGAUAUAUGGAAGAACACCAGUGGCGAAAGCGGCUCUCUGGUCUGUAACUGACGCUGAGGUUCGAAAGCGUGGGUAGCAAACAGGAUUAGAUACCCUUGUAGU